rnacentral:lncRNA from 1 species
AAACCCCCUGUAAUUUUUACCCUUUUUAAUGCAGUCGUGCCACUCAACUUGGAUAAAAUUCCAUUGAAAUGAAGAGGAUAAAGAGUGAGGGUGUUGACGAAAUGGUGGACAGGUAAGAACCGUCUAGCCACUUAAUCAACAACACUAAUGACCUACUGUGGGCGUCGCCGUUCAAUGCUAUCCUGACCUGUUUUUUUUUAUCGAAUUCUUGGCCCCGGCUAUUGCUGCCAGCCCAUAGAUAAGUUGGUUUACUAUUCAUUUAUUUGCACGCAACGUACGAGUGAUUUCAAGAAAAAUGCGCAGUAACGCUAAAGCAAUUGAGCCAGACGCGUGAGCUGAAGAAAAUGUCACAACCAACACAGUGCGCCGUACCGGAGACGACCGGGCAGCUAGACCAUAAAACACCAAAGCGCCUCGAGCAUCAAAAUUGGACUCAAAUUUCUUAUUGACGUAAAGUACGAGGAUUACAGCAUAUCUGCGAUCUUUGCUUCAGAUCCGCAAUUCACUAGCACAGAGGGGAAUGUGAGCUUCAAAAAUCAGUGUUUCAUGCCCAAUGAACGCUCACAUUUCAUCAUUCCAAAUACAAUCGUUGCGAGCGUUUCGGCAUUUGGGAGUCAGUUUCGGAUUCAUUCAGAUUUCCUGAUUGAAGCGAGUCAUAACCUUUGACAUAAGCAACAACGUCCCAUUUUAUUUGCUGUUGCGACACUCCAUCGAGAUAAAAGAAAGUUCUCCCCUACCCACUCCCCACACGUCUAUGUCAUCAGGAUCGAAAAGGACAUUCAGCGUCAUACAGACGCGAGGGUUGUCGCCAUCGGGACUUGACAGCACUUCACUUCAGCGUGCAUUUUGCCCGUCUUUCAACGCCUCAUCAGUGAUGCUUUGUGUUUGCUGUGGAAGAUUUCAUCACCAACCACAACAUCCUCAUUACAGCUGUUGACAGUGAACUAGUGAACUGAAAUUUUCCAAAAAGGUAAGCAUUCUCUCGUCUUCUGAAACUGAGGCAGUUACUUAAGGCAAACAGGUGACACGUUUGGUAGUUUCCUAUUAGGUAAGUUAGGGAAAAGGGAAGGGAGAGAAAGGAAAUCCAAAAUGGCCGACCAUUUGCUAGUUUCUCCUCUUCAAACGUCAGCUAUUAGAAGGGGAGGAUUGAAAAAAGUUCAUUUAAUUCUGGUGCUUCUCUCUAGUUGUGUGUUUACGUUUUGAUCGCCGCCAGGCUGAUACUCUUCCGUUUGUUGCUGUUUUUCAUUUGUUUAAAUGCUUUAACGGGUUCAGAAGUCAAAUGAUGUGUAUUUAAAGGUAUUGACAAAAUAAAGCAUUUUCCUAGGA